CGGGAUCGGGAUCGGGAUCGGGAUCGGGAUCGGGAUCGGGAUCGGGAUCGGGAUCGGGAUCGGGAUCGGGAUCGGGAUCGCGAUCGCGCAGCUUUGGACGUCUGGAGGCUGUAACGGGAACUGCCUCCCCUCCCGUCCCGUCCGGCCUCAGGGGCCGCUGUCUCCGCACUCCUGGACAAGGCGGCUGGAAGAUUAUACUUAAAAUACUUGAAUUUAAGCUUGCCACCUUUACAUAUCAGUGUAUUCUCAUGUGCUCUUGUAAAAGAAAUGUUUUCAACCCAUUUCUUGUUUCCUGGUUACCUUCUUAGCAGUUGUUUUUCAUGUGUCAGUGUUACGGUCCAACUGUACAAUGUGCUGAGACAAGGAUGAUUCAGACAAUGUUGCAGAGCUCUUAUUCUCUAGAUGCCUUCCACAAGCAUCAAAUUCAGAGAGGACAACAUGCCCAGCUGGUUCUAUGAGUGUUCAUAGACUUAAACUCUCUUGAGGUCAGUUCAUACCAUAAUUGAUAAAAGCGGUAACUAAACUUGACAGGUUAGUUGAUGUUUUCUGGUUUCUGUUUUUCAGUGAAACACUUUGUGUCGUUUUUUCCUCAAAAACUUUGUUCAUGCUGUGUAUGCUGAUAAUGAAACUAAAUUUAUGAAGUGUCUGAAAUCCAGGUGACAGCUGGAUUAAGAAAGUAAAAAAAGAAGGUAAAAGUCCUUCACUUUGCAUGGGAGUCAAGGAUUAAUCUGAACAAAUUUGGUAGGGAUAGGAGAUGCCCUUCCUCUGUGAUGAACUGUGUUGCAAAAUUCUGCAAAAUAAAGUACUGCUGUCAGUACUGAGCAUACAAGGGUGAUGUUCCUCUUUAACCACUGUAGUCUUUUACAGGCAGGGGUACAGAGAAAGGGGAGCUCUUUUGUAACAUUUUGAGUUUUGUAGUAAAAAUAAAGACUCUUCAACAGGAAUAACUGAAAUGCCUGAGCAGAUUCUUGGAUAGUGAAAGCUCUAAAGCUGCCCAACACCAACAAGAGAUCUGUCCUGGAUGAAUUGCUCACUUCUUCCUCUACAUAUGUGGUAACAUGUCUGUGCCUAGCACCAUCUGUGUUACCAUCCAUUCUGAGGUUUAUUAUCUUUUAGUGUGUAGCUUAUUGGUAUGUUUAUUAUGGCACGAUAAACCCCAGAACUGUGGAUGCUGAAUUGAUUUGUUGUAGGAAUCUGCAUUGCCUGAUGCAUAUUUCAUUUUUGUGUCUCCCUGUGCAUAAACAGUAUACUUUUAUGAUUGUCUCUAGUUAGAGAAAGCCUCAGAUUUUCUGGUGCUUAUUGUUACAGGAUUUUUCUAAAAAAAGGCAAAAUGAUGCCUAGGAGCAGCACUAGUGAUCACAAUCUAGUCCGCUGUGUUUUGGAGCAGCAGAGAAAUGGUGCCAGCAUUGCUGAAGUUUUAUGCUUCAUCAAUAACAGCAUAUGUGGCUUCAGCUGAGCUGCAGUGUGAAAUGCUGUAGUUGCAAGACUGAAAUGUAGCCAAGGCACGGACUGUACCUUCAGCUGUGAUGUGACUGGAGUGAUGUCCACAUCCUUACAUGGGAAUAGCUGCAGUAGAUAAAAUGUUGUUGGACUGCCAUAAAUGGAGGAUAUGAUUCUGUCAUCCUUUUUUUUUGGUAUGUAAAUAAGAGCAUUUAGAUAAACUGUUGUUUAAUAGUGCAUGCUUGAAGUGCUAUUUCUGGCUUUGUAACCAUGUUUCUUUUGAGGUGUCAGUCAUGUUUUUAUUUGGUCAAACAGGUAUAUAUGUCUUUUAUUUUGCUGGCAAGUAGACCCUGUGUAAAAUGUGAAGCUUAUGGCUUAAGUGAAGCUUGUGGCUUUAGUGAAUUAUCUGUAGAAGAGUGAAUGUAUUUUGCUUCAAUGGAAGGCUGCCUGUCCUACGUGUUUUCCACAGCAAGCCUUCAGCAAGUGCAGAAAUGAAAACAGUGACUAGACAACCCGUUUUAAAGUGAUGAAAGGAAAUCUUGUAUUUGGAAUAGUUUGUCAUGACCUUACACUGACACCUCUAAAAAUUUUUGGGCACUUCUAAAGAGAUUCCUUGAGCAAAACUAAAACUACCAUGAGACCCUGGUUCUCCCAGCAGGGAGAGCAGGAUAAUUGUUGUCAGUGCUGCUUAAGUUCAGCAGAGAUGAACAUUUGCUGGCUCCUCAAAUUGGCAAGUUAAAUAGAUAGACUUAAGUGCUUUGUAAAAAUACUAAAGUUUCAUGUUCAGUAGCUAAUAUAACUGGUUGUAUUUGCUGGGAAGAUUGUCUGAAUAAAGUUUGAGAAAAAGUUGAGAA